GUGCUCAUUUCAACAGCAUAUAUACUAAAAUUGGAAUGAUACAGAGAAUAUUAGCCUGGUCCCUAUGCAAGAAUGACAUGCAAAUUCAUGAAGUAUUCCAUAUUUUU
rnacentral:snRNA from 1 species